rnacentral:rRNA from 1 species
GCCUAACACAUGCAAGUCGAACGGUAACAGGAAGAAGCUUGCUUCUUUGCUGACGAGUGGCGGACGGGUGAGUAAUGUCUGGGAAACUGCCUGAUGGAGGGGGAUAACUACUGGAAACGGUAGCUAAUACCGCAUAACGUCGCAAGACCAAAGAGGGGGACCUUCGGGCCUCUUGCCAUCGGAUGUGCCCAGAUGGGAUUAGCUAGUAGGUGGGGUAACGGCUCACCUAGGCGACGAUCCCUAGCUGGUCUGAGAGGAUGACCAGCCACACUGGAACUGAGACACGGUCCAGACUCCUACGGGAGGCAGCAGUGGGGAAUAUUGCACAAUGGGCGCAAGCCUGAUGCAGCCAUGCCGCGUGUAUGAAGAAGGCCUUCGGGUUGUAAAGUACUUUCAGCGGGGAGGAAGGGAGUAAAGUUAAUACCUUUGCUCAUUGACGUUACCCGCAGAAGAAGCACCGGCUAACUCCGUGCCAGCAGCCGCGGUAAUACGGAGGGUGCAAGCGUUAAUCGGAAUUACUGGGCGUAAAGCGCACGCAGGCGGUUUGUUAAGUCAGAUGUGAAAUCCCCGGGCUCAACCUGGGAACUGCAUCUGAUACUGGCAAGCUUGAGUCUCGUAGAGGGGGGUAGAAUUCCAGGUGUAGCGGUGAAAUGCGUAGAGAUCUGGAGGAAUACCGGUGGCGAAGGCGGCCCCCUGGACGAAGACUGACGCUCAGGUGCGAAAGCGUGGGGAGCAAACAGG